rnacentral:rRNA from 1 species
UACGUAGGGACCAAGCGUUGUUCGGAUUUACUGGGCGUAAAGGGCGCGUAGGCGGCGCGGUAAGUCACUUGUGAAAUCUCCGGGCUUAACUCGGAACGGCCAAGUGAAACUGUCAUGCUAGAGUGCAGAAGGGGCAAUCGGAAUUCUUGGUGUAGCGGUGAAAUGCGUAGAUAUCAAGAGGAACACCUGAGGUGAAGACGGGUUGCUGGGCUGACACUGACGCUGAGGCGCGAAAGCGUGGGGAGCAAACAGG